GGAGGAUGGAGUUACGCAACACAAACAAACAAACAAACAAACAUCACAGAGUUAUGAGAGUCACUUCACACACAGCCUGCUUAUUAAUAGGUCAGGUCCGUCUACUUUAUGUACGCCAACGUGAUUAAGCAGAGGGUCCUGAUCCUUACUGAAGCCCAGAAUCACAUCAAUGCUGUGGACGCGACCGCCCAUUCCAGAGCCGCCUUUACCCAGGUCGUGGACGUCAUGUUGUGACCCUGACCACAUCCUUACGUCCAGACGCCGCCGUCUCUUUGCCUCCGGUCUUCUCAUCUCCAGCAUCAUUUCCCCCCGUCAUGUUCUUCAGUUUGUCCCCAACCAUCUGCUGGAGGAAGAACGCCAUGUUCUCAGUGUUUGGAGGGGUUGAAUAGG